GAGUUCGUUAAAAUACAAGGCAUGCAAAUGACAAAAAUGAUGCAAAAUUUGCUCAUAAAAUUAAAAAUAACCGACUUCCUGUUGGGUUUCGGAUAUUGCUCCAAGAGUCUUUUUUGUAGGUACUGAUGCUUUACAUAUGUGUGCCAAUUUUCGUGCAUGUACGUGAAACACAGCGGGAGGGCUGUUGAUUAUUUUAGGAUAGGUGGCGCUGUCGAGCCAUUUUGCCACACCCUCUUCUGAAACCUAUAUCAGACGUAAAUUUUCACCAGGUCUGACGCGUGUGCAAAGUUUCAGGACUUUUCAAGCAUGUUUAGGCCCUCAAAAAUGCGAUUCAUUUUGGAGAAGAAGAAGAAGAAGAAGAAGAAUAAUAAUAAUAAUAAUAAACAAAGCAGAUACAAUAGGGUCCUCACACCAUCGGUGCUCGGGCCCUAAUAAAUAUAGCUGCAAGCAGCGAUGGCGGGCUCAAGCCAUCAGCGCAAACGCCACCCCGGUGGCAUCAGGUAAACUGUGCCCAGCGGGCACAUGCAUUUACAGUAA
ensembl:lncRNA